rnacentral:rRNA from 1 species
AUUGAACGCUGGCGGCAGGCCUAACACAUGCAAGUCGAGCGAGCGGCGGACGGGUGAGUAAUGUCUGGGAAACUGCCUGAUGGAGGGGGAUAACUACUGGAAACGGUAGCUAAUACCGCAUACCCUCAGAUGUGCCCAGAUGGGAUUAGCUAGUAGGUGGGGUAACGGCUCACCUAGGCGACGAUCCCUAGCUGGUCUGAGAGGAUGACCAGCAACACGGGAACGAAGCCACGUUCCAGACUCCAACGGGAGGAAGCGGUGGGGAGUAUUGCACAAUGGGCGCAAGCCUGAGGCAGCCAUGCCGCGUGUGUGAAGAAGGCCUUGGGGUUGUAAAGCACUUUCAGCGGGGAGGCGUUACCCGAAGAAGAAGCACCGGCUAACUCCGUGCCAGCAGCCGCGGUAAUUC